GACGAACGCUGGCGGCGUGCUUAACACAUGCAAGUCGAACGGAAAGGCCCUGCUUUUGUGGGGUGCUCGAGUGGCGAACGGGUGAGUAACACGUGAGUAACCUGCCCUUGACUUUGGGAUAACUUCAGGAAACUGGGGCUAAUACCGGAUAGGAGCUCCUGCUGCAUGGUGGGGGUUGGAAAGUUUCGGCGGUUGGGGAUGGACUCGCGGCUUAUCAGCUUGUUGGUGGGGUAGUGGCUUACCAAGGCUUUGACGGGUAGCCGGCCUGAGAGGGGGACCGGACACAUUGGGACUGAGAUACGGCCCAGACUCGUACGGGAGGCAGCAGUGGGGAAUAUUGCACAAUGGGCGGAAGCAUGAUGCAGCAACGCCGCGUGCGGGAUGACGGCCUUCGGGUUGUAAACCGCUUUCGCCUGUGACGAAGCGUGAGUGACGGUAAUGGGUAAAGAAGCACCGGCUAACUACGUG
rnacentral:rRNA from 1 species